rnacentral:rRNA from 1 species
UACGUAGGGUGCAAGCGUUGUCCGGAAUUAUUGGGCGUAAAGAGCUUGUAGGCGGUCUGUCGCGUCUGCUGUGAAAAUCCGGGGCUCAACCCCGGACUUGCAGUGGGUACGGGCAGACUAGAGUGUGGUAGGGGAGACUGGAAUUCCUGGUGUAGCGGUGAAAUGCGCAGAUAUCAGGAGGAACACCGAUGGCGAAGGCAGGUCUCUGGGCCACUACUGACGCUCAUGCACGAAAGCGUGGGGAGCAAACAGG